GGUUUGUGAAUCUUUGAAUUCUGCUACUAGAAAUAUGAUAUUUGUGUAUUUACACACUUGUGUAAUUUAGAAGCACGUAUUGUAUCUUCAGUUUGGAUCUUAUUCAAGUGGACAAAUCUAAGCAUUGUUUGAUUUAUUUGUGACAGGUAUGAGUACUGCCAUGAUGCAUCGGUAUUCCAUAUUCGAUAACGAGAAAUACAUAAAUGAUAAGUAAAGAGAGUUGGUGAACCUGAUGAACGUGUUGAUUAUUAGUUUCAGCCAUUACAACAAUGUGGAUGGAGAAAUGAUUUCCUAGCUAAGGUGUAGGAAAACGAGAACAACAGCAUCAAAAUAUUACAAGAGGAGGAAACAAAAUUCAAAUUUUUUAUCUUCCAAACGUUAGUAUUGUAUUUUGCUCGGAAAAAUGAGUGAGUGUUAAUGGGAUUUGCUUCAUAUAUAACAAUGUGAAUCAUUUGAAAUAAAUUGAUUCAUAAAAUCAAAGGAAAGACCGAGACGAAUAUAUCUAACUAUUACUAUUACUUUUUUGAAUUUUU